UUAGUUGAAACCAAAAAGAGGUAUAUCACUGUUAAUGAUACCAAUAAGAUAAAUUCUUCAAUUAAA
rnacentral:tRNA from 1 species